rnacentral:rRNA from 1 species
GGGUGCGAUCGUACCAGCACUAAUGCACCGGAUUCCAUCAGAACUCCGCAGCUAAGCGUUCUUGGACGAGAGUAGUACUACGAUGGGUGACCUCCUGGAAGUCCUCGUGUUGCACCCC